GGCUUUGUGCAGUGGCAGUAUCAUAGCCAACGAUGUUUACCUGAGGCAUGAUUAUUGCUAAUUAAAAAAAGGAAUUACAGAAAGAAGGUAGUGGAACCUAAGAUCUUUACCAGUAUGACAAGUUAGGAGUUCAAAAUCUAAAAUAUUAG
rnacentral:snRNA from 13 species